AUAAUGAUUUUCACGAGGAAGUUGGAGGCUGAGAAUUCCAAGACAGAGGCAGAUAUCUCCUGGAAAUAUCUACAAGUCUGAGCUUGAAGAGGAAGAGGAUAAUGGCAUUUCUUCCAAAAACAUCUUUUAUUUUUUGCAUCAAGGAGGCUAGAAGAGAAAUGAAGAUUUCCUGAAAUAGAUUACAAGAGACUCCACUAGCUAGAGCUGAGGUCAAGUUCCACUCUACACUUAACUCCGGACUCAAGUCAGAACAUGAAACAAAGAAGUGAAGAAUUACAUUAUAAAUGGAUGAUUUUGCUUUAGUUGUUUUGUAAGUAGAUUUUUUUUUAUGUGAAUUAGUAGAAGCAUAAUCAAAACUGGAAGGAUAGUUGUGUUAUAACUCAUAUCUUUCAUUCAAAUUACUAUCUUCACUUUCUGGUGAUACUGGCAACCUGGAUGCAUUGAAAUGUGUGAUAUUUGAUAUUUUAGGGAAAUAAAUAGAUUAUAAAUUUAGAUAAUAAAUUUGCUCCAACUAAAGGGAGCAACUAAAUUAAUUACAACUAAACUUGUAAUUGUGCUGCGUUAAUGUUGAAAAGAGUCAAUACCUAAAGAAAUAACUGCAACCUCAGGAGUUUUUUGCUUAUUUUGUUGUUGUCAUUGUUUCUUUCUCAGUUGUAAAAAGAGUGAUGGCUGGUAGCUGGAAUCAGCACUUAAAGCAGUCCUUGAGCUGAAUUUGAAGUUAUUUUAGCUAUUCCCAAGACCUUUGUUAGGUAGGUGCUAAUUUUAAGAUUUUGGAUGCAAUUAAGAUCCAAAUUUCUUUUAUAAAGUUUGUUUAUUAUAAGAAGAACUAACAUAGCAACCUUUUUUAUUUUGGUUGUCUAAAAUCUAUUAGAAAAAGCUUACUGUCAUGUAUGGAAGGUAAGAAACAGCCGAGUCACACUACGGACCCAGUGAAUACUCUGACGUUAUUACAUGUAGUAAUGCAUUCCUGGAUGCCUAGAAAUGGGAAAAAUGUGUUAUAUGAUCUAGGACAGUCUCUGACAAAGCAAAUCAUGUCACCGACACAUUCCAUUUUGAGAUUAAGAGCUUUCUUCUUGUUUUAGAUAAUAUAUGGUCUCCAAAUUUAAGUAGUAGCAGGUCCAGAAAAAUAUGGAGGCUUUGCUAUCCUGCAACUGUUAUGAAUGCUGGUUACAGCACAACUAAAGGUUUGUUGGAAAGCAGCUUGCUCGGCAGCACGUAGUUACUGAUUUACUAAUGAUUUAUGAUGUAAUGAUGUAAUCCCUAGAUACGUGGAAUGUGGUGUUUCCAGUGUGUUCUAGUAUAUUUCAGCAUAUCCAUACUAUUCUGUAUCCAUAGUAUUGUAGUUAACAACAUAUCCCAUAUAUGGAGAUUACUCGGGUAACGAUAUUGUUAGCGUGUGCGUUGCAUAGAGCUUGUAUCCCUGGACCCUGUAUCCCUGGAAGCAUAUAUGCUAUAUAAGAUGGUGUGUUGCUACAAUAAAGUUGAAGCUGCAUGAACUCACAUUGGGUGUCAAGCUUCCCGCGCUACAGGAGGGUAACCCUGGGGAACGUGGGGAGUUUCCCAACAAAGAUUUCAAGAGGAUCUAUUCCAUGAUCUUACCAAGCGCUGACAUGCCUGACUCGAAUCCUGCUGCCGCUGAAGUUCUGCUUUUGGAAGAGCUAAGGAGAAACAGUCUUUGCUAUCAAAGAGGUUGUUGAAAAACUUCAAGCAAAGCUCUCCAGUAAUUUUAGCUGUCGGUAGAUUCUGCCAGAUUGUUUUCUAUGGAUGACAAAUGCCUUACACUUCUGUCCAGCAUUGUGGAUGGAAUGAGACUCAAAUGUUCUGCACAUAGAAAGAUGUAAGUCUUACUGAACAGGUGCACAUUGUGAUGAUUCAGAUAUUUACAAAUAGUAAGAUAGCAUAGUAAGAUUGGCUUUUUCAGAGAUGAUAAAUUCUCCACAAGAACAACCAAACCGUAAAACCAAAAGUUGCACAAGAAUUGGGAUCUAUUUUUUCUAUGAAAAUUUUUUCUUAUCUUACUAUUUGAAAUAAAAGAGCUUAAGAUGAAAUAAUAAAAAAAACAGUUACAAAUACUGAGAUGCUGUAUCACUCUAUAAUUAUUAUUUCAGUCCUGUGUAAACUGAUCAAACACUAACCACUUUCUCCACACCCUUCCCUUCUGUAGCAAGAAAUCAUUUGUUUUUUUCAUCCUCAUGAGUAUUUGUUUUAAAUAUAUUAACCCUCUUAACUGAUUUAUUCCAGUACAAAUGUUCAUUAACUGUCAGUAGGUCUUCAGCUUAUAGAAAGAGACACGAAAAAAAAAAUAGAAAAAAAAAAUGCCAGAAAGAAGACAACAAAGAAGUGACAAAACAUCAGAAAGCUCUGACCUAGAAUGAAGUGUCAAGUUAGCAGCCAUGGUGUGAAUAAUUCCCUCCUUAAGAGAAUAAGCAUUGCUGCAACCUGCAAAGCUAUUACCACUGAUUUCAGUUGGAGAUUUAAUAUUUUCUUCAGAGGCUUUAGGAUUCAGUUAAAGCUAAGGCUAUAUAAAAUACACACUGUGGGUUUUUUUUAUUAUAGGAAUGGUCUAUAUUCUAAGUAUGACCUAGAUCAGUAUGACCCCUAAACUGUAUUUCUUCACAAUUUGAGUACAGAUCGAAAAUUACUGUUUUCCUGGCUUAAGAACCUGUUGGAUUUUUAUGAAAUACAGACUUCGCAUCUAUCAAGCGAAAUAGAACUUGAUAUUCCAAGAAGCACGUCUUCAAAAUGGUGUUCAGGGAGUUACGCAAACAAAUCUUUUUGAUGUAAACGUGACUUGAGCACACAACUUCCCAAGAGAGAUCUGUGAAAGGGUACCUCUCAUCAUCUCUAAAUGUACUUGAGUCAAAAGGAGAUCCCAGAAGGAUAUUAGGUACUUUUUUUGUUAUGUUAAUUAAAUACUUCUAGUUCUAGCAAUUUGUUUUUAACUACUACUUGACCAAAAGAACGAAAAAAUAUAGAAAGAAUGAGGAAAGGAAGCAGUUGUUUCAGUGAAGACAAAGGAAAAAUAUUGCAGAACUGUCUGAAAAGCUGAUGAGCUUUAUGUAACUAGUCUUGAAAUAUUAUUUAUUAUGACAAGCUAACAGAAGCUCUUUUUGCACAAAUAAAUACUACAUUUUCUUUUAAAUAACAUGCUUUAUUGCUGUCAAUUUUAUAGAGGUUAUUUAAAAUACCAGCUUUACAUGUUAAGAAAAAGAGUAAAUUUGGUUUCAUUCUGUAUAUUUCAAGAUACAGAACAUCUCAUUAUUCUGUUAUUAAUGGAGAUUCUAAAGCUUUUGGAUCUUUGUUUUUCAUAUGGGAGGAGAUUUGCUAUGGUUCCAGUUCCAGGUACUGUUUAUAAACGAAGUUAAUUAAAUAUGAAUAAACAUUCACAAAGAGACCAAGGAAGUAAUUCCAUAUACCAAAAAAAAAAAAAAGAUGAGAUUUUAUUAAAGCACUCCAAAAAAAAAUCAAAUAGGAAUGAUCUGUACUCAGAUCUGUUCUCAGACUAGAGAAUAUAAUGAUCAAUUGGAGUAAGAAAAUGUAAGAUCCAUCACAUAUGUGACAUUUUCAAGACAGUGGAGUAAGCCACAAUUACAGACUGAAAAAAAACACAUGAAAUGACUAGUUUGGUGGAUGAGCAGGAAGCAUAUUGUUUCUUUGUUUGUUUGUUUGUGAGGCUUUCAGCACUGUAACUUAAAACAUCCUCACAGACAACUGAUUAGAUACAGGUUAGAUAAAACAGUGAGGAGGAUUGAAAACUGGCUUCUGAGCUGUGAAGCUCAAAUUGUCGGGAUUGGCACCAUGAAGUUCAGUUGGAGAUGAUUAAGAAACUAGAGCACCACUCCUUUGAGGAGAGACUAAGAGAGCUGGGAGUGCACAGCACUGGAAGGAAUCUCAUCUGUGUCUAUACAGGGUGCAAAAGGAGGGUGUAAAGAAGAUGGAGUCAGGCUCUUUUCAGUGGUGCUCAGUCCCAGGACAAGACAAAAUGAACAGAAACUGGAACACAGGAAGUUUCCAGUAAACAUGAGUAAACACUUCUGUAAUGUGCAUGUGGCAGAACAGUACUGGCACAGGUUGCCCAGAGUCCGUGAAGUAUACUCCUUGGAGAUGUUCAGAAGCCACUUGAACAUGGGCCUGGGCCCCCUGCUCUGAUUGUCCCUGCUUGAGCAGGGGUUGGGCCAGAGGAGAAGAGGUCCCUGCCAGUCUUAAUCAUUCUGGUACUGUGAAAAACUUUUGUAUUUGGAAAAUAUUGUGUUCAUUUCUCUUCAUCAUUAUGCAUUGUUAUGCUAUAGGCAACCCUGCACAGAAGUAGCACCACUGUUUCUGUUUGCUUGUUUGUUUGUUUCCUUUUUUCCAAGAUACACUAGAUGUUCAACCCAUCAUAAGGUCUUACGGAUCUAAGAAGAUGAGAAAGUGAAAGCUUAUUACCACAUACAAGUGAAACAUAGCAGUAGCAGUACUUAUUCUGGAAGAAACAGAUAAAUAGAAGGCUCUGCCAUUUUGUCUGAACAAACUUGGGUGUUGUUACGGAGAAUUAGGAAAUACCUUAAUAAACUCAAUUAUCUCUUAUUUUAAAUUAAUUCAAUCUGACUCUAAUCAAAUAUUGUACAUUGGAUGAAUUUUAUAUAGGGUAGUUGAAUAAUUAUUUUAAGUGUGAUUCAUCUUCAGAAUCAGAGAUGACAUUCAGUAGACCACAGCAUAAAUUGCAAUUGGCCUGGAAUUUAAUAUAAUCACAAUAAAAUAAAGCUUCUCAAUGGAUGAGAUAAAGUGAAUGAUGACAUUUUUAUCUGUUAUAUGUUCGACUCUUAUUUAUCUACAGUCUUGCAGAAUAUUUGUGAAAUAUCAUGUAGGCUAAUAAAAUAAAGCUUUGAAGAUCAAGGGUAAACUAAAUAAAUAAUUAAAAAUUGCUAUGUUUCAUUGUUUCUGUGAUUGAAUUUUCUCAUUUCAAAUGUCAGGAGACUAAACCAUUUCCCUUAUUUAGAAUGUGCAUCACUUAAUUAAAUUUAUUCUACAUUGUAGAAUCGAAACCCAUAACUUUUGCCUUGGUGGAAAUUGUGUUUGGAUUAUAAGCAAGAUAGAAAUUAUUGUAAUUUUGUGACAAGUUUAUAAGAACUAAUGCUUUUCUGGCUUAAUGAACUGUUGUUUUGGAAGCCUCAGCCCCACUUUUCACUGAAAAGUAUAAAACAUAUUUGCACUGUUUCUGCUAGCAAAGAAUGUGCAUAGACCCAUGACACAUAUGUUUGAGUUCCUGAAUGUAUUAAAAUGCACUGAAAAGCAUUUAGAACUGUAUCUGCGAUUCCGUGUCACAGAAUAUCAGUGAUAUACUGUGGAUGAUUUUUUUAAACAGGAACAGUCUUAUUCAAUGUUAUAUCUUACUUUUUUGUUCUUCUGAAACUAUAUUGUAUGAUAGGUACAACAUGAUAUGUAUGGGGUAGCAUGAUCAUAACAUCAUCUUAGUUCUUGACAUUCAUUUUAUCAUAUUGAUGACGAAAUAAUAUGUAAUAAUAUCUUGUAGUGAGUGAUGGGACUCUUUAUACAAUGUCACAAUUAUUUUAAAGAAGAUUAAGUAUCUUUUUUUAAAAAUUAUUUUUUUAGAAAAUGGCCGUAUAUACUAUUUGGCAAAAAUGUUUUUGUUAUCAUCAAGCUUAUGUUUUAAAUCAGCUAGAGAAGAACUGCAUUUUCAGUGGACUCGCUGUAGGUUGGAAACUAGUUUUUUAGUAUUAUGCUUCCUGAGAAAAGGAAAAUCAUGUGGUAGACAAUAGUAGCUGAGCCAAGAGAGUAUUCUUCCAUUCUUUCAAAUUUGUAUUGAGUUGCUGGAAAGCGUAGUAAUCUCUGCUAAUCAAGCCACUUUCUUUUGCUUCAUAAGUUGCCAUGAUUCACAAUGAAAAAUAAUACAGUGCUCCUGUAGGUGAAGAGAUGUUAUUUCUUUCAUUGAAAAUCAGCAACUAUUUCUCUAGACUACCUGUUUUUUCUGUAAUGUUAGUAUAUAAUCUUGCCCAAAUUAUUAAUAUUUUAUUUAAUAUUUUAUUUACUUUUUUAUCAUAAAAAUUAUUCUGGUGGGUAAUUUUUUCAGUGCUUUCCUUUACAUUUUCACAUGUUGAAUUACCCUGGAAGGAAAUAAAUAUUGCAAACUCCGUUCUUUAAUGUUAACAUUCUUUUCAUUUUUUUUGAUCAAACAGUACUUUGCAAUAAAGAAAAAAAAUUAUAUAUUCAUGAAAAAAAUUCUAGAAUUGAGCACAUAAAUAAAUGUUUUGUAUUAGAUUGUGAUAGACCUUUGAGGGACAUAUAGUCAUUAUUUUUCAUCUAUUGUUUCAUGUUUAUUUACCGUUUAUUAUAUUUUCUUUGCAAUUAGUAUAUUUACUUUUAUAUUAUUAAAAAUAAAUCUGCAUUUACGACAAAUUCAGGAAAAAAAGCUGUACUGUAACUCCUGUCAUUAAUCAUCUUCAUUUAGGAGUGAUUCUAAUCUGAUGAAGAAAAUGUCAUCAUAGCUAAGAAUUUGUUGCUGAUUUUGUUUCCAAACUGACCUAGACAGGAGUUCAGUCCACUGUACACAUCCUCUUUACUCAUUCUCACUUUCCAUUCCACAUGUUCUUGAAAGGUAUUCUUUCACAGUCAGCCUGCCUUUUCUAAAUAUGUGACCAAGCCAAUUUUCUUAAUAUUUUUAGAUGUUUUGGCAUCAUUUUUUAUCUAAUCAACUUUCUCCAUGUCCAGUUUCUGAAGUCAAGAAAACCACAUUGUAUUAACUUAUCUUUUGUGGGGAACUAAUGAAGUACAGGAGUGUUUUGUUAUAACUGCAAAAAAUUGAACAGUUAUUUCAUUGGGAGCUAGAUGUUUGGGGAAUUCCGUGAUCACCAUGCUAUAGAUCCAUUCUUUCUUAGCCUUCAGCACACAGAGGUGACAUGGUUUCAAAGUGGAGGUGGAUGUGAAAGAACAGCCUAAAUAAUAAUUUAUUGAAAUUAAAGACAAUGUGGAUUUUAUUUCUCUCCAGAAAGGAUAUGCUUUGAAACUAGUAUUCUCUCUCCAGUGACUUUCUCAUUACAGUUUGCUGUACAGAACUCUGAAAAAGUUUGAAGCCUGAUGUCCCUAUGGAGCAUAAACAUAGUGGGUGUUUUUUUUUUUUUUCUCUUUAGUCACUGACACAUUUGAUUACAACGCUCACAUAUGCUUUCUGCCUCAUUGACACUGUGUAUUCUGAUUCUUCUUUCCCAGCCUACUAAGCAAUAACUGUUUAAUUAAUGAGUGCCAUAUGAGGUGUUCAUAAAUACUUCUUUCACCAUUUAGAGAAAUUAAAUACUAAUGUAGUCAGGUGGUAAUAAUGAAGAAAAUUAGAGCACACAGAAAGUAUAACUUGGUGUAUAAUGACGAUACACUGAUGACAAUGAUGAAAGUGAAACACAAUAAAAAUGAUGUAUAAAUUCUACUAUGGACAUUUUAGGAUUAAUGGGUAAAUUAUAUGUAAUUUGUAGGUGAGUAACUUAGAUUUUGUCAUUUUUCCAGGCAUAAAGGUAACAUGCUUGUGUAUUCACAUACGUUUUUACCCUGUCAUAUCUCUAGAGAGCUAAAGAAAAUGUACCCUAUGUCCCUAACAUUUUUUCCUCACAUUUGAACAAUGUUUCUAAAACAUAUUACAUUAAUUCACACAGAUUUUUUUCUCUUGGGGAAAGGACAAGAUGCAAAACAAUCCAUAUCUUGCAAAUAUAAGCCAGACUGCCUCAGUCUGACUACACUUUGAUGUAAGUAUGUGAGUACAUUGAGACUGCUGAGAUGGCCAAUGAAAUGAAUUAUACAUAAUAUUUGACCACCAGGUUUCGGAUCCCGGUGACUGGAUGUUCCUUCCACACUUCUGCUUGCUCAGGUUUAUAUCUAACUGGAUACAUAUACUGGAAAUGUUGCCAGUCUUGCAGUUUUCUCUGUGUCUCCAAUAACAAAUAUAUCAGCACUCACCAAUGUGUACUUUAGUGAGUGAAAACAGAGGUAUGUAGAUCAUAUUUGGACAGAACUACAGCAGACAUUAUAUGUGGUACAAUUAUGUUUUUAUCUCAUUUGUAGAAUUAUUUAAAUGUCAGUCCUAAAAAAGACAAAACAUUAUUUGCUGUGUGUCAAGAAAAAAAAUCUUUAGUAGAAGUUAAAAUAGAAGCAAAUGUCAAAAAGGAGGAGGGUGAAAAUUGUGAAUAUAAACUCCUAAACUCUAAUAUAUUAAACUUUAGACACCUAUUUCUUUACAAGUUUAAUGCCUUAUAUUUCCUUGAAAGUUCAAACUAUUCCACAUUUUUAGGUUUCAAGUCUGAUGAGGUAUUGGUGGCAAACCUGUGGCGAGCUUUAAAAAUGUUUGUGACACUUCGAUCAUUACUGUAUCAUAUCUGUAUAAUCUAAUUAAACAUUCAGGGCAAGAACUGCACCUAAUCAUGCUUUCAGAAUAAUGGUAUUUCAGGUCUUAGUUUGUGUUUGUCAACAAUGCAGUAAUAAAGUUAUUAAGAGGGGCAGAAGGCUUAAGUAAUGCUGAUGACUCGGCUUUGAUGCCCUCCAUGGGGAGACUAUUCAUCAUAGUCUAAUGAGAUCAUUAGGAAGAAAAUUUUCCUGCUUCAGUAUAGACCCAACAUCAUUUUAGAUUAAUCAAUACAAAGACCAAGUGACUGUAAACCAUAAUGGUGCUGCAGUGGUGACUGUGGGUUGAGUCAAGAAAGCCGGACCUUUGUGACUUGGUUAAGUGCAUCUUCUAGUUAGCUGAGGAAUAGAAGGACAGAUGAGGCAUGAUAAUAAAUAAGUAAACAAACAAACAAAUAAAUAAAAGACCAUUCCCCAAGUCUCAGAAACAACUAGACCUUAAGAAGUGACCUUCAAGUGUGUAAUAUUACUCUGUCAUAUUUAUUUUUGCUUGUGACUUCAAUGGCCAUUCAACUUGAUAACCAUCAUCUAAUAGAUAGAUAUAUUUUUUUGAGAAAUCUGAAUGCAAAUGUUCCUGGUAGUAUUCAUUACUCAGUGGAAUAUACUUUUCCCAGUGUGUUAGUACUGAACUAUCACCGAAGAGUGAUAGAAGAGAUAUUUCUGAGAGGAAAACACGUUGCUGGUAGAAGUAACUUCACAUGGAUUAAAUUGUAAAACUACAAUCCCAUUGUUCUCCUGUGCUCCUUGGAAAGUUAAUGUUUCUUUAUCACUAAAAAAAUGAUUGCAUUGUCUGCCCAAACCAAAGUUCAGUUUUCAUAAUUUACACUGCUGUUUUCUUUAAAACAGUAGAAAGCAUUUCCUUACAUUGUUAAAUCAUUCCUAUAUUUCAACACAGAGAUGCAGUGAGGGUUGAAAUAGAGGGCAAACUGGCUGUACUUGUAACAUCAUUCUUCUGUUUUAUUAAGGAGUAAGGAUUCUCCAUAGAUUUAAAUUGUUUGUACGUUUGUUUUGAGGAAGAUUUAACAAAAUGUAAUGAUCAGAAUUUGGAAUAACAAGCUUGUUAUGAGUGGGAAUCAGUAAAUUACAU